UUUUUCCCCUAGUGUGGGUACAGGGAAAGAGUCUGCGACUGCGGCCUGCGACCGGGUCCGCUCGUCUUUCAUUUUCGUGACUGUUGUCCGUGGAACGGGGAGCUCAGGCGAUGGAGAGGUGACCAAACCCGAGUGCGAAUCUGGAGUCCCCGGAUCGACCCACGCGAAAAUAUCACCAUCACAACCGGAUGCUGAGCGGAGUUUGCAUAUUUAACUUCAAUUUGUGGGCUCAAAAUUAUAAAGGUUACUCUAAAGGCGUAAUAUUAUGGAAGCUAGAGAAAUGUUAAAUUAAAAAUGGACUAAUACAACCAGACUUUCUU